GAGGACUGACUAAAGUGAAAAGUGAGUUGCAGUCGCCCAAACGUGAAAAGACAAAGGCAUGAAUAAGCUUCUCAAGAUCAGGGAAAGACAGAGUUGAUUUAAUUUACUAAUGUUUCUUAGCUGGUAGUAGCAGGAUUUAAUGAGAUUAUUGAUGUGCGGAAUGAAGUUAAGGUGUGAAUCAAAUGUAAUACCUACAUUUCUACCUGUAGAUUUUAUAUUGGGUGUUAGACCGGACCAAAGAGCGGCUUGAAUUUGCUUGCUGUAUGAUCGGGGCCAAAGAAAAUGACCUCUUGUCUUCCCUGUAUUUAGCUGCAGACAAUGACAGCUCAUCCAUUUCUCAAUGGGGGCCAUGCACUCCACUAAAUUGUUUAAGCAGCUGAUAUUGUCUGACUUGAAGGACAUGUAUAUUUGCGCAUUAUCAGCAUAACAGUGAUAGGAGACCCCCUCAAAGUGAUUCAUAAUAUUUCCUAGUAGGAGCAUAUGAAGGGAAAACAAGACUGGACCAAGAAUUGAGCCCUGUGGCAGACCGUACGUCAUGGGGGCCGAGGAAGAAACAAAAUUACCAAUUGAGACAGAAAAUCCUCUAUUUGACAGGUAUGACCCAAACCAUUUGAGUGCGGUUCCGUGAUCUGGAAGAAGUUAAAAAUAGAGAAUAAAUGGAUAAAAUUCACAAUGAAGACUUGGCUGGAUAUAAAAAAAAACAAUUUCAUCUUUUUAAUUCCAGGACAUUUAAGCAGCUAUUCCAGGAUUUUUACCUAUUAAAACUGUUAAGCUUCAGAAAAUGGUCGGACAAAGGUUUAACUACCGUUAAUCAGCUCUUUCAAGGGGAAGUAUUGAAAUCUUACGAACACCUCCAGAGAGAAUUUGGUUUAUUAGGGAUGGAUGUUUUAAGAUUUCUCCAGUUACGACACUAUCUACAGACGCAUUAAGACUGGGAGCCGUGUGUAAGUUACCAUCGAGUUUAGAAAGAAUCUUUAUGUUGACUAUGGAGGGAGUGUUGAAAAAGAAUCUUAUUUCCCAUCUCUACAGAUGGUUUCAGGGUAAGGACACAGGAGACACUUUACAAACGAAACAGAAAUGGGCAUUAGAAAUGAAUACUAUUAUUACUGAUGAAAUGUGGGAAAAGACAUGUCUUUCUGGGCAUAAACUAACAAGCAGUCCUACCUGGAGGGAGUCUGAAUGAGAAUAUUUAAAACCCCUUCUUUGAUGGCGAGAUACAGCAACACAUCAGAGCUUUGCUGGAGAGAGUGCAGGAAGAUAGGAGACCAUACUUAUAAUAUCUGGGAUUGUCCCAAAUUGAAUAAAUACUGAAGAGAUAUUCAGGCAGAGACCAAGAAAAUUCUGGGGCUUGACUUGCCAUUAGAACCAGCAUUUUUUUAUACUGGGGAACACUCAAGAAGAAAUAAACACAAAAAACAGACAUAUUUACUCUGAGUGUUGCUGUUGAUCGCAAAAAAAAAUAUUACAGUGUUGUGGAGAAAUGUAAAGCCACCUACUGUACAACAAUGGAGGGAAAGGUUAAAAAGUGUUUAUGAGAUGGAGAGCAUAACAGCCUGACUUCAACUAAAGACAGAUGUUUUCAAAAAUAAAUGGGAACCGGUACUACUUCAUUUGCCAAGAUAAAUUAAGAUCACAACUGCAUAACUCCAUUAGAUGGGCACUGGGAAUGUACUUUCUACUUGCAAUAGGUGUUGGACGGAGGAAGUCAAGAAUAUGAGGAUACAUAUGCUUAAACAUAUUGGGUAUUAAGUAUUGGCUGAAUUGAAGUUUUGAGAGAUACCUGUGCAUGUGGUACAUUUAUGGACUGACCAGAUAAAAGAUUAUCAGUGUCUUGUGUUUUGUUUUUCCACCUGCUGUACGACCCAUAUUUUGUUUGUUUUUGUACAUGUAUGCAUUUUGAUAUGAUUGAAAUGAACAAAGCAACUUUGAAACAAAGCUCAAGUUAAAAAAACAAAACAAAAAAAACACUACCAUUGUGUCCAGGCGGGCGGUAGAUCAUUAGACAGAGGAUGGGUGAAGUGUAGCAGACAUAGCUCAAGCAUCUGGCUGUGGUCGCCAGGUAACAGCCAGGUCUCAGUUAAAAAUAAAAAGUCUAGAUUCUUGGAGGAAAUAAGAUCGUUCAGAAUUAAAUAUUUUUUGGAGAGAGACCUUACAUUCAAGAGAACCAAUUCCACAGGGAUACUUUGGUGGCUAGAGGGGGCGGUCUCUAUAGGGACUAAGGUACAGAUCCUAGGGGCUGUAGGCAUAUUGAUGUUAUUUUUGAAGGCCUAUUGUUUAUUACAACCUGUGUAUCAAAUGUCGUUGUAUUUUGAUGUAAGGGAGUAUAGGGCUAACAGCUGGUAGUUGACAGAGAAUACCACAUGAGGGAGGUGGUGAGCAUUUUUCAGGAUGGGGUUGUGACUGUAAAAAACAUGUUGUGUGUCAAAGUAUGUACACCCAAACUGCUAGGAUGUAUUCCAUUUCCAUCUCUCCCAUAAAAGGAGGGGCGAUUCCAAAAGAGGUUUAAAAUUAUCAAUGAAAGCAGGACUAUUAUGGACUGCCCAGGUAGACUGCAGCCAUGUGUGGAGACUGAAGAUGCGGCAAAAACGACCGGCACCUCGGCCUAGUGGAGGAAUGGGGCCGGAGACAAAAACACACCUGCCACAUGAAUCCAGCGAGCGAAGGAGUCUGUUAAAGUCAUAUUUUAAUAUUUCUGAAGAUCGCUUUGAAACAUCAUUGCAGCCGAUAUGUAAGAUGAUGUUCGUAACGCGUGGGUGUUUUGCCAAGAGACUGGGGAUCCUAUCCAGUAUGUCCAACACCAUUGCGCCUUGAAAACAGUAUGUCACCGCUGAUCUUCUCCUGACAUGGCCCACUAUGGAAUCACCAAUAACCAAGGUGUUCGGCUCCAUCGCUAGCGAUGCAGGAUCCGCUCGCUGCAAGGAAGCAGGUGAGGGAGGAUGAUUUGCUGCAGAUCGCCGUGAAGCCAGAGUGUAGUUCAGCUUCGAACGGUGGGUAGUGGGACGGGAAAAGGCCCCCUGCAGGGUUCGGUGGAGAAGCCCAGGUAGGUGGAAAUCCAGCAGGGUUGCAUAGUACCAUGUAGACUGAACAUUUCAUAUGGAUUUUCCAACUGGAUUUCCGUGUUUGAGGGGGUGUGAUAAAAGAUGCAUAUU